GUGGACGCUGUGACGCUCCAGGGCCUAGAAGAGGAACCUGGGGCCCAACGCAGCCAUGGUGGUUCAGGCUACUCCUCGUCCAGCCAGUUCCUGUUCAGUCUUCCCAACGAGGGUGGAGAGAAUCGGUGCUCCUGCCCUGACUUCUUUGGUGACCUAUUAAACAGGAGCUGGCCACGGAACCAACUGGGCUGAGCACUGUGCAAGGUGCAGGACCCCUGCCACCACUGCCCCUUCUGUGCCUCAGUUUCCUCCCAUCUGCGGUAGGUAAUUAACUUAUAUUCCAUAAUGCAUUCCAAAUUUAGCACAAAAACAGGUUUUAUAAAAGCAAGCAACAUGGUUGUUUCACUUCAAAGCCUUUUCUAUGGGGGAAAGGGGAGAGUUUUAGGAGAGGCUGUUUAGGUUUCAGGGACUAACAAGAAUGUGUGUUCAGUGCUUUGGGGAGGCUGAGGAGAUAGACAAAGCUAAUAAGACCUGGAUUAAAACCAGGUUAAUGGGGCUGGAUCCAUGGUGCAGCAGGCAUGCUCUGCUCAAGAGAAGCCAGACCCCAUACGUGACCAUGGUUUGAGUCCCUGGCCUGGAGCCUGAAAAAUGCAGGGCAUGCAAGUGCCAAGGAGAGAAGGACUUGAGGCAGGGGACAGUGGCAUGACUAGACCCUGUAGAAGGUACUCAGCCCUCUCUUGUAAGUAUAUGUGCUUCAUCAUGAAUU